rnacentral:rRNA from 1 species
UACGAAGGGGGCUAGCGUUGUUCGGAAUUACUGGGCGUAAAGCGCACGUAGGCGGAUAUUUAAGUCGGGGGUGAAAUCCCGGGGCUCAACCUCGGAACUGCAUUCGAUACUGCUUUGCUGGAGUACUGGAGAGGAGAUUGGAAUUUACGGUGUAGCAGUGAAAUGCGUAGAUAUCGUAAGGAAGACCAGUGGCGAAGGCGGAUCUCUGGACAGUUACUGACACUGAGGCACGAAGGCCAGGGGAGCAAACGGG